rnacentral:rRNA from 1 species
GACGAACGCUGGCGGCGUGCUUAACACAUGCAAGUCGAACGAAGAGCGAUGGAAGCUUGCUUCUAUCAAUCUUAGUGGCGAACGGGUGAGUAACGCGUAAUCAACCUGCCCUUCAGAGGGGGACAACAGUUGGAAACGACUGCUAAUACCGCAUACGAUCUAACCUUGGCAUCGAGGAUGGAUGAAAGGUGGCCUCUAUUUAUAAGCUAUCACUGAAGGAGGGGAUUGCGUCUGAUUAGCUAGUUGGAGGGGUAACGGCCCACCAAGGCGAUGAUCAGUAGCCGGUCUGAGAGGAUGAACGGCCACAUUGGGACUGAGACACGGCCCAGACUCCUACGGGAGGCAGCAGUGGGGAAUCUUCCGCAAUGGACGAAAGUCUGACGGAGCAACGCCGCGUGAGUGAUGACGGCCUUCGGGUUGUAAAGCUCUGUUAAUCGGGACGAAAGGCCUUCUUGCGAAUAGUUAGAAGGAUGGACG